GAAGAUAUCCGGCUGUGUGCAGUGCCAAGUUCACAUAGGGGGAGUAUAAAAGGUCCUAAGUUUCACAAGUUUCCAGCGGUCGAGAUAGAGGUGACAACGUGGUUCAGCUCUUCACGCAGAGUCGCUGUUCUGAUAUACAGUUAUUGACCCCGGACAAUCAACCAUGAGACUCUGUCUUCUUCUGUUUGUGGCUGUGGCAUCUGCAUCUCCUGCGAAUGGGCAGGCCGAUGUCAGUGACGCCCCAUCCAUGAGCAAUGGCACUGACGCCAAUCCUUGUGAGGACAUCACCGGACUCUGGUUCC